rnacentral:rRNA from 1 species
CAGGUGGUGCAUGGUUGUCGUCAGCUCGUGUCGUGAGAUGUUGGGUUAAGUCCCGCAACGAGCGCAACCCUCGUUCUAUGUUGCCAGCACGUAAUGGUGGGGACUCAUGGAAGACUGCCGGGGUCCAACUCGGAGGAAGGUGGGGAUGACGUCAAAUCAUCAUGCCCCUUAUGUCUUGGGCUUCACGCAUGCUACAAUGGCCGGUACAAAGGGCUGCGAUACCGCAAGGUGGAGCGAAUCCCAAAAAACCGGUCUCAGUUCGGAUUGGGGUCUGCAACUCGACCCCAUGAAGUCGGAGUCGCUAGUAAUCGCAGAUCAGCAACGCUGCGGUGAAUACGUUCCCGGGCCUUGUACACACCGCCCGUCAAGUCACGAAAGUCGGUAACACCCGAAGCCGGUGGCCCAACCCUUCUGGGGGGAGCCGUCGCAGGUGCGACUCGCGCUCGCUCU